AUUGAACGCUGGCGGCAUGCCUUACACAUGCAAGUCGAACGGUAACAGGUCUUCGGAUGCUGAUGAGUGGCGAACGGGUGAGUAAUACAUCGGAACGUGCCUAGUAGUGGGGGAUAACUACUCGAAAGAGUGGCUAAUACCGCAUGAGAUCUUCGGAUGAAAGCAGGGGAUCGCAAGACCUUGUGCUACUAGAGCGGCCGAUGGCAGAUUAGGUAGUUGGUGGGAUAAAAGCUUACCAAGCCGACGAUCUGUAGCUGGUCUGAGAGGACGAUCAGCCACACUGGGACUGAGAAACGGCCCAGACUCCUACGGGAGGCAGCAGUGGGGAAUUUUGGACAAUGGGCGCAAGCCUGAUCCAGCAAUGCCGCGUGCAGGAUGAAGGCCUUCGGGUUGUAAACUGCUUUUGUACGGAACGAAAAGCCCCGGGUUAAUACCCUGGGGUCAUGACGGUACCGUAAGAAUAAGCACCGGCUAACUACGUGCCAGCAGCCGCCGUAA
rnacentral:rRNA from 1 species